UAAUAUGCUUUGACGAAGAAAAGUAUAUUUGACUUGUAUGUUUAGAGAGUCUGCGGUUGGUGCAAGCAGAACAUACAUCAAAUGGAAUGGGCUUCUGAGCAGUAUAUGUGAACUUGAAGUAGCAUAUACCGUCCCCUUCACGUUACGAAGAAGAGUGGCUAAUUUACUUUUAGCAAACUGGGUGGUACCACGGAUUAUACAUCAUUCGUCCCUUUU
rnacentral:ncRNA from 1 species